UGCCUGUGGAUUGGGGCUGCUGCCAGAGCAGCGGUAUGUGUUCUAUGUCGUGUAGCAUAUAUGGGUUGUGCAGCAUAUGUUUUUUUCUACAUAUUUCCUUGACACAUAGUUCUUCCCUGUUAUGUGUAGAUCUGCAGGCAGCAGGCAAGAUCAUUUGGUUCGUCGGUUUAGUAAGAACUUCCAUUGUUGAUUUCUCUUCCUAAUGUAAGCCUUGCUAUUGCAUUGGUUAGGUUUGUUCCUGUUUUGUAUACAGUUUUAAAUAAUUAGUGAUCUAGACUAAGAAGUGAGCUACAAACGAGAUGUUAGUUUUUCCCAGAUUACUAUGACGAACAGAUUUUCUUUUUCUACAUCCAUGGCCAGGAACAUGUAUUGUAUCCAAUACAAAAUGAAGCUCUAAAUAAUUGCUAAAUCUCAGAAGUGUUAGACUAAAAAUGAUUCAUCAACUGAAUGCAUUUUAGUGUAAUAACUUAAUGGUUGGAAACAUCACGAGUUUUAGUAUGAUAAAACUAAAAUCUGAAUGGAAUCAUGAAUGUAUAUCAGUUUGUUGCACAAAUUAUGCAGCAACGCCAAAGCUGUAAUUGAUGGUAUUUUAUCUUGCAUAUACGAGUUACAGGCAUUAGUCUUAUUCUUUUCUACGAAGACUACCGUAUAUGGUUUGAAUCAUUGUUAUAUAUUUUCUUCUGAUGCAAGCCUGUAUCUACAGUUCCAUUCUCAUUUCCUUCUUUCUUUUUUAUUCUGCAGGGCACAUGUCUCCAUAGUACACUUACAAUUAACUUCUUGGGUAUAUCAUUGUUGUUGCCUCCUAAUUUGUGUGAUGCAAAAAGUUGUGCAUUUUGUGUGUGGAUCUGAGAUGCCUAGGAAGGUUGGGAAGUGAACUUGUUACCUCUGUUUAAUUCAAUGGCAUGUUGAACUUGAUGCACCUCUUGGCCCAUGGCUUUUCCCCCGAAAGUUUGGAAGUGCGAAUGUUUCUGGGUAUGUUGAUCACCACUAAUUUCUAUAGAAAGGAGCCGAAUGGGAGUGAGUAAGCUCCUUUUCACUUGCUG
rnacentral:lncRNA from 1 species